rnacentral:rRNA from 1 species
CAGCCGCCGCGGGAAUACGUAGGUGGCAAGCGUUGUCCGGAAUUAUUGGGCGCAAAGCGCGCGCAGGCGGAUCAGUCAGUCUGUCUUAAAAGUUCGGGGCUUAACCCCGUGAUGGGAUGGAAACUGCUGAUCUAGAGUAUCGGAGAGGAAAGUGGAAUUCCUAGUGUAGCGGUGAAAUGCGUAGAUAUUAGGAAGAACACCAGUGGCGAAGGCGACUUUCUGGACGAAAACUGACGCUGAGGCGCGAAAGCCAGGGGAGCGAACGGGAUUAGAUACCCCCGUAGUCCCUGGUCUCUUAUAC